rnacentral:lncRNA from 1 species
UAACAAACACCUCCCUUUUCUGUAUCAGAAGGUGUGUGAAAUCUAAGUUGGAACUUAAAUAGGAAGGGGCAAUUAUUAAAAUUUCUAUUUAUUAAUACUUUUUUUUUUUUUUUUUUUCUGUACAGGGCAAUGAAGAAAUUAGUACCAAGCUGAACAACUCUCCAAGAACAACAGCACUGUCACUCUCCAGGA